rnacentral:lncRNA from 1 species
AUGUGUUUAUCAUGCUCUUUCCACCUUCAGAUCCGAGCCGGUGGGGGCUGGCCGCAUCCGAAGAGGGAUGAAAAGCCCUACGUGCGCACGCGGGCUGAGCAGCGAUUUUGCAAGGAGGGAAGGGGACCUUGUGUUUUCACUUGUUGCAGAAGCGCAGGUACAAUGCACGUCAGUCAGGCUUGGAAGAUCGCCUGUGGGCCCAAAAGCUGUGAUGUAGCUUGGCUUUGCAGCACCCCUUCUUGGAGACCACAGGCAGCUGUAGCAGAGAAGGGAAUUGAACCUGCACGUUCUCAAAGCCUGGACACAAGCACUAACCACCAGACCAGCUGUGCCCAUCUGACCUAUGCUGCAGAUGACGUUGGUCAACCUUCACUGUUCAGGGGAGGAUCACGAAAUGGAUGGUGCUAUUGGCAGAUGUUUUACUCGUGGCUCUCAGGUUGGUCCAGACAUCUGUAUUGCAGCAACAUCUGUUCUGUACUUUCACAACUCACGGGGAGGGACAGAGUCGUGUUGAACAACGGAGCCCAGCAAGACUCAUUUGGCAUGCCAGGAACAUGUGCAGGAUCCUUGCUUUGA